rnacentral:lncRNA from 10 species
AAGACAGGGUUGAGCCCAGCGUUGGGAGCGGAGGCGUCUGGAAAACGCGCCAGGGAAAUGAGCCAGGGGCAAGAAUCGAGGCGCUUCUCGGCCGUCGAAGGCAGCUUAGGACUGCUGAGAGACUGGGUAAGGCAGCGUCCUUACCUUGGAAUGCCGCAGAACCGGGCUUCAUUAGAGCACUGGUGCAUACUCUUAAAAAUUAUCUCGUUACCGUUUCGUAUUUUAUUUAGUGGAUUUAAUCGUCUGGGAAGGAGUUUCUAGCCGCAGCCAAUCUUACAGACGCGCAGAAUAUUAAUCUAUUUUGUGCCGACUUAAGGCACGCAUAUUUUAGGAUUUGUGGAUUCCCAAGACCUAUCCCAACGAACUCAAGAGAAGGGGUAAGGCCAGAAAGAUUUCUGCCAUAAGAAUGACUUCUAGGCCAGGCGCGGUGGCUCACGCCUGUAAUCCCAGCACUUUGGGAGGCCGAGGCGAACGGAUCACCUGAGGUCAGGAGUUUGAGACCAGCCUGACCAACAUCGUGAAACCCCGUCUGUACUAAAAAUACAGAAAAUGAGCCGGGCGUGGUGGCGGGCGCCUGUUAUCCCAGUUACUCGGGAGGGUGAGGCAAGAGAAUCGCUUGAACCCGGGAGGCGGAGGUUGCGGUGAGCCAAGAUCAGGCCACUGCACUCCAGCCUGGGCAACAGGAGCGAAACUCUGUCUGAAAAAAGAAAAAAAAAAAAAGCAUGACUUCUAAAAUAACAGAAAGGUGCUCGCUUUGGCAGUACAUAAAUGAAAAUAACAGAAAUUAACCCUGGUAGAAAAGUUAAGGGCAUUAGCUCUACUGAACCUUUACGAAAAAAAGGGUUGCAAGAA